UACGAAGGGGGCUAGCGUUGCUCGGAAUCACUGGGCGUAAAGGGUGCGUAGGCGGGUUUUUAAGUCAGGGGUGAAAUCCUGGAGCUCAACUCCAGAACUGCCUUUGAUACUGAAGAUCUUGAGUCCGGGAGAGGUGAGUGGAAUUGGCAGUGUAGCGGUAAAAUGCGUAGAUAUUGCCAGGAACACCAAUGGCGAAGGCAGCUUGCUGGGCCUUUUCUGACGCUGAGGCACGAAAGCGUGGGGAGCGAACAGG
rnacentral:rRNA from 1 species